CCUACGGGAGGCAGCAGUGAGGAAUAUUAGUCAAUGGGCGGAAGCCUGAACCAGCCAAGUAGCGUGAGGGAUUAAGGCCCUGCGGGUCGUAAACCUCUUUUGCCGGGGAGCAGAGGUCCGGACGUGUCCGUGCCGGUAUAGUACCCGAAGAAAAAGCAUCCGCCAACUCCGUGCCAGCAGUCGCGGUAAUACGUAGGAUGCGAGCGUUAUCCGGAUUUAUUGGGUUAAAAGGGUGAGAAGGCGGAAGUGAAAUUCAGCGGGCAAAGUGCGGGGCUCAACCCAGUACUGCCGUGGAAACUGGAUCCCUUGAGUGCGCGAGAAGUAUGCGGAAUGCGUGGUGUAGCGGUGAAAUGCAGAGAUAUCACGCAGAACUCCGAUGGCGAAGGCAGCAUACCGGCGCGCAACUGACGCUCAUGCACGAAAGCGUGGGUAUCGAACAGGAUUAGAUACCCUGGUAGUC
rnacentral:rRNA from 1 species